AAAGUGGGGUGCAGAGCCACUAAGCAAGCAGGGGUGGCGUGUGUCGGAGCCAGAAUCCAUUCUCGGCUCUCUGCUCAGUUUACCCACAGGAGGACCUUCCCCCGACCCCUCACGCCGCCUGGAGCAGCCUAUCUUCAUGCAAAAUGCACGGAGCCACAGAGGCUGCCUUCCGGGACUCAGCGCGGAGGGUUAGGCUGCCUCGAACCCCUUUCUGGUAACUCCAUCCCAGCUGGGACGCCGGGCCCUCUCUGCCCCUUGCGCCCCGCCCCUCCCCUUCUGCCCCCCCAACACUGGCACCGGGCGGGCUCUGGGUCGGCGCCCCCGCGCCCCCGCAUCAGGAUCCCCGGCGCUGACGUUCUCUCCGCCCGGGGAGGAGGGGCCCAGGACGGGCUAGGUCCUCAGCCAGUGCGGAGAAAGGGCCCUGGGCUCGGCUCCCACGCUCGGGCCGGCCUCCCACCGAGGGGUCGGAGCUGCGGUCACUCGCCGAUUCCAGGCCGUGGCGUCCCGCGCUCAGCUUCUGCGCCUCUGGAAGGCGGUGAGUCGUUUCUUCCCGGUAUAGGAGGGACAGUUUCCCCACGUGGACGCAGGGCUGGCAGCGGGAGGGGGAAUAGCGCUGGCGGAGCUCAGGGGUUCGCUGGUGCAACCAGCGCGCGCGCCUCUCUCUCUCCCCUCGCCGCGCUCACGCUCGCUCUGCCCCUCCCCCGUCUCUCCCCUCGCUCUCUCUCGCUUUCCUCCCACUCUCUUGCUUCCCCCCCUUUCUCUGUCUCUCUCUUCCCCUCUCCCCUCGCUCACUCCCCCUCUCCCCUCACUCUCUCGCUCUCCCCUCUCCCCCUGUCUCCCCUCGCUCUGUCUCGCUCUCCCCCGUCUCUCUCUCUCCCUCCCCCUCUCCCCCCGCUCUCUCUCGCUCUCCUCUCUCUUCUCCCAGACCUCCUCGCGUUCUCUCUUUCUCUCUCCCCUCGCUCUCCCCUCCCCUGCCCAGUCCCUCUCCUCUCCCCUCUCUCCCUACAUCUCUCUGGUUCGCCCCCCUCUCCCCUUUUCGCCCUCUCUCUCACCUUCCUUCUUCCCACCCUCUCUUCCUCCGUCUCUCCCUCCCCGCCUCCUUCCCUACCCCCUUCCUUCUUCCCUUCUUCUCUCCUCCCCUCCUCCCCUCCUCCGCCCCCUGCUCUCAAAGGGAAGGAUGCCCUCGGUUUCGCGGCGCUCUCCCAGGAGGGAACUCCCGCAGCCGCUCAGGCCAGCACCAGAGACCUUGUCCCUACGAAGGCGGGCCGCGCCCCUGGGUGGACUGGGCUCAGGGAGCGCGCUUUGCACACUUCAGAUGUCUUUGUGGGAAGCUAG
rnacentral:lncRNA from 1 species